UACGUAGGGUGCAAGCGUUGUCCGGAAUUAUUGGGCGUAAAGAGCUCGUAGGCGGUUUGUCGCGUCUGCUGUGAAAUCCCGAGGCUCAACCUCGGGCUUGCAUCGGGUACGGGCAGACUAGAGUGCGGUAGGGGAGACUGGAAUUCCUGGUGUAGCGGUGGAAUGCGCAGAUAUCAGGAGGAACACCGAUGGCGAAGGCAGGUCUCUGGGCCGCAACUGACGCUGAGGAGCGAAAGCAUGGGGAGCGAACAGG
rnacentral:rRNA from 1 species